CUCUGCGUGAACUCCAUGGUGCGGGCAGGAAGGAGCGGGGCGGCCGGGCGGCGGCAGGACCAAGUAAUUAUCGCAACGAUGUCGCAGAGUGAGGCCCGGAGGAACGUGCUGAACAGCCGGCCAGGCCGAGGGACGCUGAGCUUCGCCCAUGUUAGUUAGACAUGGGUUGGCAUAGCAAGAGGGAUGGAGUCUGGGUCCUCUGAGGAGAGAGAUUUGGCAGGUCUGGCAACCCACCAGUGGUCACCAGGUCACCACAGCCGUACGGACAGCCCAGACACGGCUGAAAUUGGUGCUUGGGUUUAGUCACCAUUUGACGCCUUUGGCCAUGCUUCCAGUUCACUUACUGUGCUAAAACUCAUUUCUGGUGUAUCGGGUUCUUUUUUUUUAACACUCGAGUGUUAAAAAAAACCCCUUUUGCCUAAAUUAGUUUGCGUACCUUUUUUUUUUUUACAGUCAAGAGUGCUUUUGCCUGUUGCCUGUAGAGGAAGGACCCAGGCUUUUUACAGUUAUGACUGCCGAUAACUGAAAACACAGCUCCCGAUCAUCAUCUUGUGUUUUAAGUGUAGUCAGGCUGUGUUUUGACAAGGAGAAGAGAAUGUGAUACUUGCAUACGCCCACUCGAACAGAUGCAAAUGCAGAUUUUCCCUUGGUCUCGUCAGAGUACCCAGGAGAAUCCCGGUAAUCCUGACUGACCCUGUCACUUGGAAUAAUGACAUAAAAUUAGUAAAAGGAAAGCAAAUUGAAUAUUGACAAUAGCGAUCUGUAUCUGAACUGUGAGCGCAGACAAAGUCGGAUCUGAAUUCUCUCGACAAGGUGCCGUCCAAGCACUGUGCAGACAUUAUACCUGGUUCCGAAAAAGUAAAAUUGGGAAAUGGGCUUAAUGGUGAAGCAAUAUCAGAAAAUAUGCGUAAUGGUAAAAUUUAUUAGACUCUGGAAAAUUAAAUUCAUGAGGGAGGUUAUGGAAACCUCGCAGAUUGGGUAAGGGUGUAAUUUUCUAUUAAAUUGCUAAGUGGAAAAUCCCAGAGGCAAUCAAUAUGCUACUUUUGGAAUUUUCCUAAACUUCGCUGUAAGACUUUGUGAAAGGAAACUGGGCUAACGUACUAUUUAAAAUCCUGCAUUAUAUAUUUUUGGGAGGAUGCUGAAGCAGCAAAGGUAGAUGGAUGUCACAUGCUGUUUGCUAAAUUGUGUGGGUCCAAUUAAUCUCUGGUACAGUGUAGUGAAGUCAGGUCUGAAAUGCAGCAGCAGUGUGCCUAAAUUUUGUGCGCAGAAAGAGUAUUUUUUCUCUCUUCCCCCCCCCCCCAAGCAGUCUGCUGAUUCCUGUCUGCUAACUUUAUUUACAAGACUUAGAGCAUUGCAGAAACUGUUGUGUUUGACUCUCAUCCUUCCUGGGACAAUAGGAGAAUUUUUGUAAAGCAUAAGGCCUUCAUUUACUGUUCGACUCACAUGAUAGGCUUUAUCCUGCAUUUGCCAGAGGAAUGUGCUACAAAAAUAAAAAGGUCUUUUCUGUUUUCCUCCGUUACUCAAUUUUGUGAAACAUUUUGGGGUGUAAUUUAUGAAGAAGUGAUGGCAGGGUUUUAGCAACUGCUCUUUUUCUCCUUUUAGUUCUUCCUUCUCUGUGUUGGAGUUUUUUGCUUAAAGGGAUGCUCAUGAUUCGAAAUGACGUUUCAAUCUGAAGGCUGCACACUGCAGUUCCAAGUAAUGUUUUACAAGAGUUAGCACAUCCCCUUUUUAUUAGUAUUUCUCUUUUUCUUCUCGUGAAUUAAGGUGAUUCAUUCUUUUCUACAUGCAGAAUAAGCCUGAUCCUGCAAGCCAGCCUAAUGAUGGUCAUUCAUAUGAGUAAAUCUUGCAAUUUCUCAUUUAUGAAAGUAUUAGCCAGUUCGGACACUUAGGCCCGAAUCCUGUCAUCUCAUCUGCAUAAAAGUGAAUUAGAAACUGGGACAAGGUGACUUUAGGUCAAAGUCUUCUUGUUAUCCACACAACACGUAGGAGGAUCUGGUAGCUGAAAACCAAGCUUUCCGUCCUGUACUGAUAAUGUUUCUCAGCUGUGACUUAAAAAACCCACUCCUUCGAGAACUCAAAGGCUCCCGCGUACAAUGCUAGAUCAUGAGCUAACCAAUUAACUAUAAUUAAUCUAGUAAUACUUCAGUAUUAACAGCAGCGGCACUCUUCACAUCAGGAUGUCCCAGACUUUUUCUUUGCUUCCAGGCUCACAGGUUUCCAGCGAUGUUUUUGUGGUCGUGCAAAACAGGCAGGCAGUACUUUCUCUCAGCUCCCAACUCGACAAUAGGUCACGUUGAUGUUGUGCCGUCUUACUACAAACCUUCCCUUCCCGGGGGCUUUUGUCUCGGCAUGUCUGAAGACCGGGUCAUUCCGGAGUCACAGCAGCAGAAGACAGAUGUAAGAGUGGAAAGAGAUGGAAAGAGUCAAUCACUCGGAGCUACAGACGGAAAAUGAAUGCAGAAUCAGCUGCGGGAACAAUAGCAUUUAGCAACGUUAGACAGCUCCACGAGGCUGUGGGAUGAAGAAGCCCAGACAACAGCCAUCCUCCCAUAAGUCCUGACUGAGACUGAUGUGGGGACAUUAUGCUGUGCCUCCCCAGCCCGGCCUUCUCGCCGUUUCCAGCUUGCCACAGGGAGCUGCUUUCCGUGUCUCUAUUCUGCCUUGAUCCUCUUCCGUUUCUCCUGCCACACAUUAGUAAAUGCACUUGCACUAAAAUCAAUGGGAGUUUGAAAACUAAAAGUAAUGUGUGCUUUGGUAUGCUACUAAUCCACUUAUUUGGAUCCUCUUACUGCUCCUCUGGGCUGCCCUGAUCCUCUCUAUCAGCCCACCCAGCUGCUCUGAUCUGCUCUCUAAACUUCUGCUGUGGCUCUAUUAGCAUCCCUGUCUACUCACAGGGCUGCUGCCUCGACGCCUUCAAUCCCCUCUCCCAAUGAGAGUCUCUCUGCUAAAUUAUAAUUCUUGUAGCUCAGAAUACUGAUGCAAGCUAAAAUAAAUUCAUGAAAAGUUGCUGCGGCCCCUACUAAGAUGUUCUAUUUCCUUAAAUGUUUUCAAACAGUACUUACAUUUCAGGCUGGAGAAAUUGCUUAAGACACAUUUGUAACCACCUGCCUGCUUUUCAGUUCGGAAAAAUGAAAUUUCAUUGCAAGGUACAAUGUAGUUCAAAAUCUACUCACACAUGCACUUUUUAAAGAGAGAUUGUGCGAAUUUAAUAUCUGUGUCAGGCUGGAGACUGACAACAUCUGAAAAUGAUGCUUCUAUUC